GGCCUUUAAAAGAGAAAAGAAUCCCAUAAUUUGAAAUUUCAACCCUUGUUUUCAAUGACAAGAUGAGAAAAAAUAAAUCCUAUGAAAUCAGACAGGUCUUUUCUGAAGAUUUAUUUCUGCUCUGAGCUGCUUCUGGGUCACCUACUGCUCUAAUUAUGCUGGAAGUAAACCUGGCUUUCAUGAGAUUCAGGACAUGGCUGGAGGAAAAACUUGUCAGGAUUACUUCAGAUCAUCAGUGCUCACGAUGGCCUCAGAGCAUUCCAGGAAUUCAUUGAUUCAUUCCGUAAUUCAUUCCGCCGAUUAACCACAAACACAGACACACAGGGAGAACAGACAUCACUGACUGAUGUUGUCUUACUAAUACACCCAGGGCAGGACAGAGCAGAAAAACAACAACGCAUGGGUUUAAGGCCGGUCGCCUCCCCAAGCUCCUCACGUGAGCAGCGUGGAAGAGGAGGAAGGCUGGACUUGAGGUUCACAGCCCCGCUUCUUCCCUUCUAAGGUGUGCUCCCUACAAGGGAAGCAGUAACUCCAGGGCUUUCGAGGGGACACGGCUCCGGGGAAGGUCAGUGGAGACGGCGGAUGGCACCCUGAGAAGCGCUGCACCUGGGUGAGAGUUUUAGGCACUUAACACAUGUGUUGGGCGCCUGUUAGAUGACACGCAGCACGCUAAACACCAAAGAUGUCAAGUUAAAUAAAAUACAGCCCUGCCCUCAAGAGGACAACGACGUGUGGCGAGGGCCAAUCCCUUGAUAUGUUCAAGAGAACCCAGAGAAAGUCACACAAAUAACAAGAACCCAAAACUUGCCACUGAAUUUCUAAUCCUUGGCACGCUCAAUGCGGUGCUUUAUUCAACGGACAGAGCUGGCUGUCGGUGCCUCUGACUCCCUCGGCAGAUGCCCAGGAUCCAGGAUUCAGCUCUCCAUCCGAGGCGUCCUGAUCAGGGCUGAGUUCUGUGCAGCCUUCCCCA